CCUACGGGAGGCAGCAGUAGGGAAUAUUGGGCAAUGGACGGAAGUCUGACCCAGCCAUGCCGCGUGUAGGAAGACGGCCCUCUGGGUUGUAAACUACUUUUAUCAGGGAAGAAGAGCAGAGAUGAGUCUUUGUGUGACGGUACCUGAGGAAUAAGCACCGGCUAACUCCGUGCCAGCAGCCGCGGUAAUACGGAGGGUGCAAGCGUUGUCCGGAUUUAUUGGGUUUAAAGGGUGCGUAGGUGGCCUUUUAAGUCAGCUUUGAAAGCUGGUCGCUUAACGAUCAGGGGUGGGUUGAUACUGGAAGGCUUGGAUCAGGUGGCGGUUUCUGGAACGGGUCGUGUAGCGGUGAAAUGCAUAGAUAUGACCCAGAACUCCGAUUGCGAAGGCAGGAGGCUACGCCUGUAUUGACACUGAGGCACGAGAGCAUGGGGAGCAAACAGGAUUAGAUACCCUGGUAGUCCAUGCCGUAAACGAUGAUUACUGACUGUGUGCCCUUCGGGGUGCGUGGUUAAGCGAAAGCGUUAAGUAAUCCACCUGGGGAGUACGCCGGCAACGGUGAAACUUAAAGGAAUUGACGG
rnacentral:rRNA from 1 species